rnacentral:lncRNA from 1 species
UUCUUCAAUAUUGAGUUGGCUAUUGAGAACCUUUUGACUCUCCAUAUAAACUUUACAAUGAGUUUGUCAAUAUCUAUAAAAUAACUUGCUGGGAUUUUUAUUGGGAUUGCAUCGAAUUUAUAGGUCCAGUUUGAAGAACUGACAUCUUGACAAAAUGAAUCUUCCUAUCCAUGAAUAUGGGAUAACUUUCCAUAUAUUUAGUUCAGAGUUUUAUAGUUUUCCUCAUACAGAACUUGUUUAAAUUUUGUCAGAUUUAUAGCUAAGUUUUUCUUGGGGGGGGUGCUAAUGUAAAUAAUAAUGUAAUAGUGUAUGUUUGAGUUAAUUAAAGGGAGAUUCUUCUGGGUGGGCCUGGCCUAACGAGGUAAGCCUCUUGAAAGAGGAGUUAGGUCUUCGCUGAGAUCAGAAAGGUUCUGACCCUGGGCUCAAAGAAGAUUAAGCCUCCAUGAGUCCUAUAGUUGCAAGGAAGUUCGUUACAUAAGCAGGGAAGAGGGACCUGAGCCUCAGACUAGUUCCCAGCUCCAGCUAACAUUUUGCAGCCUUGGGAGACCUGGAGCAGAGGACCUCGCUAAGUCUCAGCAACACUCAUGGAAACUAUAAGAUAAUACAUGUGUGUCACUUUAAAUUACUUAGUUUGUGAUAAUUCAUUACACAGGAACAGAAAACUAAUAUGGUAUAUAUAACACUGACCUCUGGGGGGAAUAGGAAGUUGGGGAAUGCAAAUAUGGGGUUCCCCAUUUUUCAAUUUUUAAAAAUAAUAAAACUAUACAUUGUACAAAAGUAAGAGAAUGUAAACUCAUCAUCUGUAUCAGUCAGUUGAGAUGCUAUUUAAAGUUUAAACACAUGGUUAUAAUUAUCUGUUCAAUUUAAAAAUUUUCAUGACUUUAGUGCAGGUUUUCUCAAUCUCAACAGUAUUGGCGUUUUGAGCCAAAUGAUUCUUUGUUCAGAAGGCUGUCCUGUAUAUUGUAGGACGUAGCGACACCCCUGUCCUCUGCUCACUAGAAACCAGUAGUAUCUCCUCUUAUGCCCCUGUUGCGACAACUAGAAAGUCUCUAGAUAACGCCAAAAGUCUCUAGAGAGACAGCGCCUCUUGAGAACCACUGCCUUAGAGGUUUCAUCUAAGAAUAUUUUCUUGUAGGGGCACCUGGGUGGCUCAGUGGUUGAGCAUCUGCCUUUGGCUCAGGGCAUGAUCCCCGGGUCCUGGGAUCGAGUCCUGCAACAGGCUCCCUGCAUGGAGCCUGCUUCUCCCUCUGCCUAUGUCUCUGCCUCUCUCUGUGUGUCUCUCAUGAAUAAAUAAAUAGAAUCUUUUUUAAAAAAUAAUAUUUUCUUGUAAUUGGAAAAGUAAAUUAUCUAAAAUUUUAAA